rnacentral:rRNA from 1 species
AGGACGAACGCUGGCGGCGUGCCUAAUACAUGCAAGUCGAACGAACUCUGGUAUUGAUUGGUGCUUGCAUCAUGAUUUACAUUUGAGUGAGUGGCGAACUGGUGAGUAACACGUGGGAAACCUGCCCAGAAGCGGGGGAUAACACCUGGAAACAGAUGCUAAUACCGCAUAACAACUUGGACCGCAUGGUCCGAGCUUGAAAGAUGGCUUCGGCUAUCACUUUUGGAUGGUCCCGCGGCGUAUUAGCUAGAUGGUGGGGUAACGGCUCACCAUGGCAAUGAUACGUAGCCGACCUGAGAGGGUAAUCGGCCACAUUGGGACUGAGACACGGCCCAAACUCCUACGGGAGGCAGCAGUAGGGAAUCUUCCACAAUGGACGAAAGUCUGAUGGAGCAACGCCGCGUGAGUGAAGAAGGGUUUCGGCUCGUAAAACUCUGUUGUUAAAGAAGAACAUAUCUGAGAGUAACUGUUCAGGUAUUGACGGUAUUUAACCAGAAAGCCACGGCUAACUACGUGCCAGCAGCCGCGGUAAUACGUAGGUGGCAAGCGUUGUCCGGAUUUAUUGGGCGUAAAGCGAGCGCAGGCGGUUUUUUAAGUCUGAUGUGAAAGCCUUCGGCUCAACCGAAGAAGUGCAUCGGAAACUGGGAAACUUGAGUGCAGAAGAGGACAGUGGAACUCCAUGUGUAGCGGUGAAAUGCGUAGAUAUAUGGAAGAACACCAGUGGCGAAGGCGGCUGUCUGGUCUGUAACUGACGCUGAGGCUCGAAAGUAUGGGUAGCAAACAGGAUUAGAUACCCUGGUAGUCCAUACCGUAAACGAUGAAUGCUAAGUGUUGGAGGGUUUCCGCCCUUCAGUGCUGCAGCUAACGCAUUAAGCAUUCCGCCUGGGGAGUACGGCCGCAAGGCUGAAACUCAAAGGAAUUGACGGGGGCCCGCACAAGCGGUGGAGCAUGUGGUUUAAUUCGAAGCUACGCGAAGAACCUUACCAGGUCUUGACAUACUAUGCAAAUCUAAGAGAUUAGACGUUCCCUUCGGGGACAUGGAUACAGGUGGUGCAUGGUUGUCGUCAGCUCGUGUCGUGAGAUGUUGGGUUAAGUCCCGCAACGAGCGCAACCCUUAUUAUCAGUUGCCAGCAUUAAGUUGGGCACUCUGGUGAGACUGCCGGUGACAAACCGGAGGAAGGUGGGGAUGACGUCAAAUCAUCAUGCCCCUUAUGACCUGGGCUACACACGUGCUACAAUGGAUGGUACAACGAGUUGCGAACUCGCGAGAGUAAGCUAAUCUCUUAAAGCCAUUCUCAGUUCGGAUUGUAGGCUGCAACUCGCCUACAUGAAGUCGGAAUCGCUAGUAAUCGCGGAUCAGCAUGCCGCGGUGAAUACGUUCCCGGGCCUUGUACACACCGCCCGUCACACCAUGAGAGUUUGUAACACCCAAAGUCGGUGGGGUAACCUUUUAGGAACCAGCCGCCUAAGGUGGGACAGAUGAUUAGGGUGAAGUCG